rnacentral:rRNA from 1 species
UGGGGAAUUUUGGACAAUGGGGGAAACCCUGAUCCAGCCAUCCCGCGUGUGCGAUGAAGGCCUUCGGGUUGUAAAGCACUUUUGGCAGGAAAGAAACGUCAUGGGUUAAUACCCCGUGAAACUGACGGUACCUGCAGAAUAAGCACCGGCUAACUACGUGCCAGCAGCCGCGGUAAUACGUAGGGUGCAAGCGUUAAUCGGAAUUACUGGGCGUAAAGCGUGCGCAGGCGGUUCGGAAAGAAAGAUGUGAAAUCCCAGAGCUCAACUUUGGAACUGCAUUUUUAACUACCGGGCUAGAGUGUGUCAGAGGGAGGUGGAAUUCCGCGUGUAGCAGUGAAAUGCGUGGAUAUGCGGAGGAACACCGAUGGCGAAGGCAGCCUCCUGGGAUAAAGCUGACGCUCAUGAACGAAGGCGUGGGGAGCAAACAGG